CUGCGACAGCCUAGAUAUAACUGUGCAGAAUGUUCUUUUACACCUACCCGUCUUGAAGCACAUGUGUUUGCAUUUCUUUAAUGAAGAUACGGGGGGGAGGGCAUGCACUUUGAAAAAGCACAGAAUACAUGGGUUCGGUUUUUUGGUUUGUAAUAAUAAAGAGGAUGUUUCUAAUCUGUCUUUGUAGGGAUUUAGGUAUUCACAUCCACCUCAGAGCCUGCUCCCUCUGAAGUCUCCUGUGUUCUUCUAACAACCCUAGGAAUUCUUCAGCCCGGAGCUGUGUACUCAACAGGCAGACGGCUCAGUCUGUGUAUGUUGUCUGAGUGUCUGGAAUGGACACCUCGUACCUCUCCACUGGCACCCACAAUUUAAGAAGGUAAAUAGAAGCUUUCAAGGAGGAACAUGGCACACCAGGAUCAGGAGCUACUGUAGACAUUUCCAUCUAUUUUGGGGUUCUGUUUGAUAUGAGAAACUGUGAUUGCUCAGGUCAACAUACUUUUUUACCCCCCCAUUUUUGAACUGGCUCUCUUUGUAGAACAACCUUUGUAUCUUUCCCUUUUUGAUUUUUUACCCACUCAUGUGUGUUAGGAUCUACAUACAUGAAUAUUUGAGGUAUAAACUUUUGUUUGCAAGCACGGUA